AUUUGCAAUAGCUACGUCCAGUUCUUCAUUUCUUGUUCUGAUGAUCACGGGACUCAUUUCUGGAAUCAUAUUUAUUUUCCUCCUGUUCCUGUUCCUGUACAAAAAGAAAUGUUCUGCUGAUGACCCGAGGGUGAGUCAGGAUGAAAAUCAACAGCAAGUCUACUCCUCUCUUCUUCAUGGUGAGGAUUCUGUCUAUGAAACAAUCAGAGACUCUGGAAAUACUCAAAAUGCUGGGUGAUCUGUGUGAUGUGGGUCCAGUGGGUCCUUCUUGUGGAAACUCAACGAUUCUUUCUAUCCAAAGUGGGCGAACUAUGAGAAGUGACAGUAGUUUGAUCAUCUCCUUUCCUCAUAACUGAAAACUUAUUCUCACUCUCAACCAUCAGACCUUUGUCAGGUCCCAUUCACUCAUAUUUGCCACCAUUCACGGACCAUCAAGUUGCAAACUAUGGGCACAAAUAUACAUUAACCUUUUCGAGUAAAGUAUUUAGUUUUAACGUUUAGCUAAACAUCCGAAAUAUGUUUUAAAAAUGUUUCUCUGAUGUUUUGUUUAUAUAUUAUUUAUGUUUUAAUUUCUCACUAAUGUAAAAAAAAGUCCAUAUCCAAAAAUGACCAUGCAAACGUUAAAUAUAAGUGAGGCAACUCUCUAAAAGGUUCAUUAAUUACAUUACCUGUGUCAGUGUGUGAUUUUAUCCUUAACAUUGUACAAUAAGUUGGUUAGAAAUCAUAUUAAAUAUUAUAAUAUUGACUUAAUAGUGUCUUCUAUUGCAAAUGAGUGUUUCUAUUACAUAUUUAUGCUCUCUAUAAUCAAAACUUUUUUUAUUAAAGCUUUUGUAUAACAUUUCAUGUAACAACAGAAAGUUUAAAAGGUGUUAUAUGUAGUAUUUGUAGUGUCUGAAAAUGUAGCUGUUGCUGUGUUACAGUAGAUACAAUGAGCAUAUUUUUACACAUUAGAUCUUCUACAUUAUC